UUUCAAUUCCUUCUUAGAAACAAAACAAUGCUUGAUUUAAGAUGAAAAAUUAAAACUCCAAAACCUUCACCAGAAUUUAUCAAAAACAACUAGAACAUAAUCAGACAACAAAAAAUAGAAUCAAAUUUUAUCCACAGAAAAGAAACCUAUAAAUCGAAAUCCCUGCUCUCUCUAGCUAUUUUGUAAACUAAUGGGCUUCGAAAAUGGAAAAGAAGAUAAGCAGAAAGAAGACGAAAUGGCCGCCACCACCACCCUCCACCGUUUUUAUCCUAUCCACAAUCUUCGUCUGCGUCCUCCCUCGAGUCCGGAUCUGAUCCUCUUUUCUUGUUUUUUCUCCGUCCAAGUUUGUACGCGCGGCAAUCCUUCCCCUUCUCUGUUCGUCACCUCUGUUUUGCAGAUCGGAGUUUUGCGGAUCUGAGUUUUGAAGACCUAUUUUAGCAUACUGUUUCAGC
rnacentral:lncRNA from 1 species